GACGAACGCUGGCGGCGUGCCUAAUACAUGCAAGUCGAGCGAAUCAGCAGGAGCUUGCUCCUGUUGGUUAGCGGCGGACGGGUGAGUAACACGUGGGCAACCUGCCUGUAAGACUGGGAUAACACCGGGAAACCGGUGCUAAUACCGGAUAAUCCUUUUCCUCUCAUGAGGAAAAGCUGAAAGUCGGUUUCGGCUGACACUUACAGAUGGGCCCGCGGCGCAUUAGCUAGUUGGUGAGGUAACGGCUCACCAAGGCGGCGAUGCGUAGCCGACCUGAGAGGGUUAUCGGACACACUGGGACUGAGACACGGCCCAGACGCCUACUGGAGGCAGCAGUAGGGAAUCUUCCACAAUGGACGAAAGUCUGAUGGAGCAACGCCGCGUGAGCGAUGAAGGCCUUCGGGUCGUAAAGCUCUGUUGUUAGGGAAGAACAAGUACCGGAGUAACUGCCGGUACCUUGACGGUACCUAACCAGAAAGCCACGGCUAACUACGUGCCAGCAGCCGCAGUAA
rnacentral:rRNA from 1 species